rnacentral:lncRNA from 1 species
GUGCACAAGACAAGAAACCAUGGCCACUAUGUCUGCAGCACUUGGGGAAACAACCACUUCAAAACUUUUGAUGGCGACGUCUACCAAUUCCCUGGCGUUUGCGAGUAUAAUUUUGUUUCCGACUGCCGAGAUGCUUACAAGGAAUUCUCUGUCCACAUCCAGCGUGCUCUCAACAGCAAUGGCCAUCCUGAGAUCCAGUAUAUUCUGAUGAAAAUCAAGGAUAUAACCGUCUACCUCAAACCAAACCUGGUUGUGGUGGAUGGGCGGAUUGUGAAGACACCUUACUACUCCUCUGGUGUCUUCAUUGAGGCCAGUGAAAUUUACACCAAGAUUUAUGCCAAAUUAGGCAUGGUUCUGAUGUGGAACCAGCAGGAUGCCCUGAUGGUGGAGCUGGACAACAAAUUUAAUAACCAUACCUGUGGUCUCUGUGGGGAUUACAAUGGAAUUCAAAUCUACAAUGAGUUCAUCAAAGGAGGUGACUACAACUCAAUUACAUUUGGGAACAUGCAGAAGAUCAGCAAACCCACUGCCAAAUGUGAAGAUCCAGAUGAAACCCAGGCUCUUCCAAGCUGUAAUGAGCAUCGUGAUGAGUGUCACAGGUUGCUGACUUCCCCUGCAUUUGCUGAUUGUCGGCUACGGCUUAAUUUGGAAAUGUACAUCCAAGCCUGCAUGCAGGACAAGUGUGCCUGUAAUGGGAAGACAGACUCCUUCUGCCUCUGCAGCACCAUCUCUGAGUAUUCCCGCCAGUGUUCGCACGCAGGGGGCCGCCCAAGAGAAUGGAGGACAGAGAGCUUCUGCCCCAAGAGCUGUCCUGCUACCAUGGUCUACAGAGAAAGCAGCUCACCCUGCAUGGAUACUUGCUCACACUUGGACAUCAGCAGCCUUUGUGAGGAGCACUACAUGGAUGGCUGUUUCUGCCCUGAAGGAACUGUGUAUGAUGAUAUCAGUGAAAAAGGCUGCAUCCCUGUUAGCCAGUGCCACUGCAAACUUGGUGGAAAGACCUAUGCACCUGGAGAAAGGAUUUCCAAAGAAUGUGAAGAAUGCACCUGUAAUUCAGGCAGAUGGACCUGCAAAGACCUAGACUGUCCAGGCACAUGCUCAGUGGAAGGAGGUUCCCAUAUUUCCACCUUUGAUGGGAAGAAAUACACCUUCCAUGGAGACUGCUACUAUGUGUUGGCCAAGGGUACUGAAAAUGAGAAUUAUGCUCUCCUGGCAGAGCUGGCUCCCUGUGGCUCCACAGACAAACAGACCUGCUUGAAGACUGUUGUGCUGUUAGCAGAUAACAAAAAGAAUGUAAGUGGUCCUGUGUGUGUAUGUUUACUACAACAGUUCAUGUUUUGUUUUUCAGCCAGCUUCUCAGUAUUCAAGCCGUCUUCCAACUACUUUGUUGUACAAACUUCUUUUGGGCUUCAGAUGCAGAUCCAGCUGUUUCGAGUCAUGCAGCUGUUUGUGACUGUGGAUCAAUCAGUUAAAGGAAAACUUCAAGGUCUUUGUGGAAACUUCAAUGGAGUGGAAGGUGAUGACUUUAGAACAACCAGCGGGCUGAUUGAGGCUACAGGAUCUGCCUUUGCUAACACAUGGAAAGCUCAGUCCACCUGCUCAGACCAGGCAGAAAAGCUGGAAGACCCCUGCAGUCUCAGCAUUGAAAGUGCAAAUUAUGCUGAGCAUUGGUGUUCUUUGCUGAGAAACCCAAAGGGUCCUUUUGCAAGAUGUCACUCAGCCAUUGAUCCUUCAGAAUACUAUAAGAAAUGUAAAUAUGACACCUGCCUCUGUGAAGACAAUGAAGAAUGUUUGUGUGCUGCCCUGUCCUCUUACUCAAGAGCCUGUGCUUUCAAAGGGAUCAUACUGGGAAACUGGAGAAACAGUGUCUGCAGUAAGUACGAAGCAUCUUCUUGCUCAGGAAAUCAAGUCUUCCUUUACAAUCUUACAAUGUGCCAGCAAACCUGUCGUUCCCUUGCUGAUGGUGAAAAGUAUUGCUUGCAAGACUUUGCUCCUGUGGAUGGCUGUGGCUGCCCAUCCAAUACAUACUUGGAUAACCAGGAUAACUGUGUGCCCAUCUCCCAGUGCCCAUGUUAUUACAAGGGCUCAUACCUGGAACCUGGGGAAUAUUUCACAAAAGAUGGAGAACGCUGGUAUGUUUUAUUUUGGUGUAAGGUGCUUAGGUUUUUUGGUACUUUAAUGAGUCGUUGUAAUGCAUUUCACAACAUCUUCAUGCUGAGCAAAGUAUUAUCCUGUUGCAAUGCAGAGUGUGUCUCAGGCUGUGUGUGUCCUGAAGGUCUAUUUGAUGAUGGCAGAGGGGGCUGUGUUGAGCAAAAAGAUUGCCCAUGCAUUCAUAACAAUGAGUUGUAUUCUUCUGGACACAAGAUAAAAGUGGACUGCAACACUUGCACCUGCCAGAAAGGGCUUUGGAAAUGCACUGAUGACGUGUGCUAUGGGACUUGCACAAUAUAUGGAAGUGGCCAUUAUAACACUUUUGAUGGGAAAUUCUAUGACUUUGAUGGGAGCUGUGAAUAUGUGGCUGCUCAGGACUUCUGUGGCGACAAAAAUUCCAGUGGCUCAUUCAGUAUCAUCACAGAGAAUGUCCCUUGUGGAACUACAGGAGUCACCUGCUCAAAGGCUAUCAAAAUGUUCCUAGGGAAAACUGAACUGAAAUUGGAGAACAAAGAGUACAAAGAAAUUCAGCGAGAUGUUGGUGAUGAUGUGCAGUAUUGGAACAGGACAGUCGGGCUGUACUUGGUUAUUGAGGCUAGCAAUGGUGUGAUGCUGAUCUGGGACAAGAAGACCACUGUUUUCAUCAAGCUGAGCCCUGAUUACAAAGGCAAAGUGUGUGGUCUGUGUGGCAACUUUGAUGACAAGGCAAACAACGAUUUUACAACAAGGAGUGGACUGCAGGACUCUAAUCCUCUGAUUUUUGGAAAUUCCUGGAAACAAUCUCCCAUGUGCCCAGAUGUCACAAAAGAGAUUAAGCCCUGUGAUCUGAAACCACACCGGAAAUCCUGGGCAGAGAAAGAAUGCAGCAUCAUCCAGAGCGAAGUCUUCGAAAUUUGUCACUCCAAGGUGAACCCACUUCCUUUCUAUGAAGCUUGUGUUCAUGAUGCCUGCUCUUGUGACAGUGGUGGAGAUUGCGAGUGCUUCUGCUCUGCAGUUGCAGCGUACGCCCAAGAGUGCAUCAAGGCUGAGGCCUGUGUUUUCUGGAGAACUCCUGAUAUCUGCCCCAUAUUCUGUGACUACUACAACCCUCGCAAUGAGUGUGACUGGCACUACGAGCCUUGUGGCAGUAAUAUCACAACCUGCAGGAUGAUCAAUAACGUCAGCACCAACUUUACAAUACCACUACUGGAAGGCUGCUACCCCAGAUGCCCUAAGGACAAGCCUAUUUAUAAUGAAGAGACAAAGGAAUGUGUGACUGAAGACAAAUGUGGAUGUUACCUCGAGGAUGGAACCCAUGUACCCCCUGGGCAAGAAGUAGUCACAGAAGACAACUGUACAAUAUGGUAUAUAAAAAUUACUUGCAGUAAUUCAGGAAAUAAUUUGUGUAUGCGGAUUAUCGGAAAAGUACAGGAUGGCGACAUAUGUAUAAUAUACAUUUGUGCAGAAGAUGGUACUACAAAUAUUACGAUCGUGCCUUGUCCAACAACUUCACCUACAACCAUUUCAACCUCCUUCCCUUCCAGCACUCUUACCACCACCACCACCACAGCUCCUUGCUUUGGACUGAUCUGUGAGUGGACUGAGUGGUUUGAUGUUAGCAAACCUGAAGAAGGUGAUGGUGACUAUGAAACAUACGAGGAAAUAAGAAACCAUGGAAACAAAAUAUGUAGAGCUCCUGAAAAAAUUGAAUGCAGGGCUAAGGAUAAACCUGAUGUGAGCUUAGAAGAACUUGGUCAGAAAGUCCAGUGUAAUGUUACAUAUGGGCUAAUCUGUAAAAAUGAUGAGCAAGAUGUAACUAUGUGGCAACUUUGCUAUAAUUAUGAAAUCAGAGUAAACUGUUGUGAGUGGCAAGAAAUACCUUGUGAGCCUACAACUACACCUACUACACCACAAACUACAACUUCAACCACCAUCAAGACAAUACCCACCACCACUACAAUCAGGACUUCAACCACACCUAUAGCCGAGCCUACCACAAUCCAAUUGUGCCUUUGUCUGUUUUCUCUGUCCCUGCUGAUUCUAACAGGCACAACGAGCACAGCAUCCCCCACAACAGAAUUGCCAACCACUCCUCCACCACCAGAGACUCCCAUCACCACGACUACCACCACCACUAUCACCACCACCACCCCCACCACCACUACCACCACCCCCACCACAGGACCAACGACAACACCCCCACCAGGUCACCCUGUGCCUCCAACUACAGUACCAACACAGAAUUCUCUUGCUCUCUUGUCAUUGCUGGUGCCCUGCAUUGGUGUCUCUGUCCUGUCUGUUUCUAAUUGUCUGUCUUGUUGUCGCCUCCCAGGCUGUGACUGCGUCUGGUCGGACUGGAUUGACAUGACUUACCCAAAUGCUUCUGACAAGGACAGUGGUGACUACGAAACCUUUGAGAACAUUUGGAAGAACUUCCCCUCCUGGGAGUGUGCAAAAGUUGAAAAUGUUUCUUGCCGAUCAGAGAAAUUCCCUAACAUUCCCAUUGCAGAUUUAGGGCAGAAAGUGGAAUGUAGUGUUGACGUAGGUCUCGUCUGUAACAAUAAAGACCAGCAGAUAGGAGAGGGUACCACAACACCUGAACCAGAGACGUCGACAAAGACAAACACUCCAGUUACUCCUUCAACUACCCCUCUGCCAACAACAAGAACAACAGAAGUAAGUACACCUACUGCAAGCACCACUAGUCAACAGUCAACAUCACCAGUGUCAACAAGCCCAGUGACAGCUACCACCUCUGAAGUCACUGAAACAACACCAACCACCAAGACCACCACUUCAGGUCCCACACCCUCAAGAUCCACCAGCACCACACCAGUAACAGAAACACCUUAUCAUGAGACCACUACCAUCAGGACCCCAAGCCCCCAAUCUACCACCACUUCCAGCCCUGGCACCACCACAACCUCGGGACCAAGCAGCACUACAGUAACACCACCACCAAUAACAACAACCACCAAGACCACCACUUCAGGCCCCACACCCUCAGUGUCCACUCCCCCCACCACCACAGGAGGAACCGAAAUAAGUACCCCAGGGACAACCUCUGCAACUGUUACUACUCCAACAACAUCACCUGCAUCAACCAGCCCUGUGUCAACCACCACCUCUGGUACUACUCCAACAGAAAGCUUUACCACCACUUCAGGAACCACCUCCGUCAAUGUAACCACCACCUCCACCACAUUCACAACCCUUCCCCCUAGCUCAACUACUACAUCUGGGCCAACUGCAACAUCAACUGCAGUCACCACUACAGGAAGUUCUACGCACAGUGCAACUCCUCCAGUUAAUGGCUCAAGUUCAACUACAAGUCUAACACCAACCACUCCUAAAAAGACUUGUACUAUUUUCCCUAAUGAAUCUUAUGAGGUGAGUAGAUUUCAUGCUUUCAUUGUGCUUUGGAUGGUGACUAGACAUAUCACUUCAAUGUUAAUAUUCAGGCAUAACUGUGGUCAGUCUCACUACUUCCUAAGGUUUGUCUCUGUCUCCUCCCUCCUCUCUUUUCAAACACAGCAAGGUGACUCAUGGUGGCUCUGUAACUGCACUAAGGCAAUAUGUAUAGAAGACAACAUUGUCCAGGUGAUUCCAGUAAUCUGCAAUCCACCUCCGAAACCCACAUGUGCCAAUGGACUGUCUCCUGUGCCAGUCAUUGAUGAGGAUGGAUGCUGUUGGCACUGGGAGUGUGAUUGCUACUGCACUGGCUGGGGAGAUCCACAUUACAUGACUUUUGAUGGAUUGUACUACAGCUUUCAAGGAAAUUGUACAUAUGUCCUUGUGGAAGAGAUCAUUAAGAACGUUGACACCUUUGGUGUCUACAUUGAUAACUACCAUUGUGAUACACGGGAUGUAGUGUCCUGUCCUCGAACGCUCAUUGUGAGACACGAGACUCAGGAAAUCAGGCUAAGAACAGCAGAACCAAAUACUCUACAAGUAGAGGUGACAGUAAACAACCAGCUCGUGGCUUUACCUUAUAAAAAGUUUGGCGUGAGCAUCUAUGAGUCAGGCAUAAAUCGUGUUGUGGAAAUUCCUGAGCUGAAAAUGAAUGUGACCUACAAUGGCUUGUCCUUUUCUAUCAGAAUGCCCUACAGCCUGUUUGGCAACAACACCCAGGGACAGUGUGGUACUUGCAAUAACAACACAGCAGAUGACUGCAUGCUGCCAGAUGGAAAAAUUAUAGAUAACUGUGAAAUCAUGGCAGAUCAUUGGCAAGUUAAUGAUCCUUCCAAACCACAGUGCUCUCCAAGCCUAGUUCCUACAGGUUCACCAAGCACAACACCAACACAGCCUUGCAAAGAAUCUUCCAUCUGCGAUGUGUUCAAGCCAUGCCAUUCCUUUGUCCAGCCUGAAAAGUACUAUGCAGCCUGUGUUUUUGAUAGCUGUGUACUUCCCAACCUAGACCUGGAAUGCUCAAGUCUGCAGAUCUAUGCUGCCACCUGUGCUGAUCAAGGCGUGUGCAUUGACUGGAGAAAACACACCAAUGGUGUCUGCUCUCAUGAAUGUCCUCCUGGUAAAGAAUACAGAGCAUGUGGUCCUAUUAAAGAGAUGACCUGCAAAUCAAGAGGACAGAAUGACACAUCAACUAAACAAGUGGAAGGCUGUUUCUGUCCUAAUGGAACCAUGCUGUAUGACUCUGGUGUGGAUGUCUGCGUGAAAACUUGUGGCUGUGUUGGAGUGGAUAUGAUACCAAGAGAGUUUGGAGAAAAGUUUACAGUGGACUGUCAGGACUGCAUUUGCCUGGAAGGUGAACAUGGCAUUGUAUGUCAACCUCAUGUAUGUGAUCAGAAGAAGGUCACUUGUGAUGGAGAAGGCUUCUAUGAAGUCACCGAAGUCAAUCCUAAAGACCCCUGCUGCCCUCUUUUCACUUGCAAAUGCAAUACAAGCUUGUGCACAGCCAAAGCCCCCAAGUGCUCACUGGGAUUCGAAGUUCAUUCUCAUAUUCCCAGUGGUCAGUGCUGUCCUGUAUACCAAUGUGGUAAGUCCCUUGGAAAUAUGAUGAGCCUUAUACCCAACUCCUCAGUCUUUGUUGACAAGUGUCAGAAUUGUGUGUGCACAAACGAUGUUAACGUCAGCACUCAACUGAACAUCAUCUCCUGUCAACAUGUCCCCUGCAGCACAUACUGUGAACCAGGAUAUGAACUUAAACCAGUGAAAGGUGAAUGCUGUGGAAAAUGUGUGCAGACCAAGUGUAUUAUACACACAGCAGACAAUUCUGAACUCAUCUUGAGUCCUGGAGACUUUAAAAAUGAUCCUCACAACAACUGCACCAUUUAUAGCUGUGUGGAUGUCCACAACCAGCUUAUCGCUUCCACAUCUGAGAUUACCUGUCCAGCAUUCAAUGAGGAGAGCUGCAAACCUGGAACUAUUUCUUUCUUACCUAACGGUUGUUGCAAAACCUGUAACUUAGCACUUCCAUUAGUCACAACUGUGGCUCUUCUCACAGGAGUGCUGUACCUGAUUUCACCCUCUCCUAUAUGUUGGCUUCUGGCACAGAGUAACAUUGCCAUUUUGCAUGUUAACAGAUACUCUGCUGAGGCUAAUUCUAUGGACCACAGCUGCUCCUGCUGCAGAGAAACAAGGACCACUGAGAAGCAUGUGGUUCUGAAAUGCCCCGGUGGGCACUCAGUGUCACACAAGUACAUCUAUGUGGAGAGCUGCAGCUGUCAAGACACUGCAUGCACUAGUAAUCCUAGACAUCCUCUGCAGGAAAUGGAAAGCAAUAGCCAUUUUUGA